GUGGGGAAUAUUGGACAAUGGGCGAAAGCCUGAUCCAGCCAUGCCGCGUGUGUGAAGAAGGUCUUCGGAUUGUAAAGCACUUUAAGUUGGGAGGAAGGGCAGUAAGUUAAUACCUUGCUGUUUUGACGUUACCGACAGAAUAAGCACCGGCUAACUUCGUGCCAGCAGCCGCGGUAAUACGAAGGGUGCAAGCGUUAAUCGGAAUUACUGGGCGUAAAGCGCGCGUAGGUGGUUCAGUAAGUUGGAAGUGAAAUCCCCGGGCUCAACCUGGGAACUGCCUCCAAAACUGCAUGACUAGAGUACGGUAGAGGGUAGUGGAAUUUCCUGUGUAGCGGUGAAAUGCGUAGAUAUAGGAAGGAACACCAGUGGCGAAGGCGACUACCUGGACUGAUACUGACACUGAGGUGCGAAAGCGUGGGGAGCAAACAGGAUUAGAAACCCGGGCAGUCC
rnacentral:rRNA from 1 species